UUAAACCAUUUUUCGAAGCCUUUUAAGAUGGACCUCUAUAACGCCCUCGAUGCGGCUAUAUCUCCAACGUGUCGAAGCACGACUUAGAGGCAUAACCGCAUUGAAAGCAAUGUCGCAAGUGAGGUAAUCUUCACACAACCCAUGUAUUACAUAAGGGAAAAAGAUACAUAGUUUGCUUACAAUCGCCACUUCACACAAUUACAUGAAUAAAGCAUUACAUCAUCCAUAUACACUCAAGGUCCAACUACAAAACCAAAAUAAAAGAAGACUACCCCAAAUGCUACAUAGAUCCCCGAUCGUCCCAACUGGGCUCCACUACUGAUCAACUAUAAACGGAACAACAUAGCGAACACAAUCUUCAUCGAGCUCCUCCUUGAGCUUGGUUGCGUCACCUUCACGGUUCAACGGCACCUGCAAGAUGGUUUUGGAAGUAUCUGUGAGUCACGGGUACUCAGCAAUCUCACACCUUCGCGAUCAAGACUAUUUAAGCUUAUAGAUAGGGGAAAGGUAUGAGGUGGAGCUGCAGCAAGCGACUAGCAUAUAUGGCGGCUACUUUACGCAAAUGAGAGCAAAGAGAAGGCAAAGCACAUUCGAGAAAAUAUGAUCAAGAAGUGAUCCUAUAACAGCCUACAUCAAACAUAACUCCAACACCGUGUUCACUUCCCGAACUCCACCGAGAAGAGACCAUCACGGUUACACACGUGGUUGAUGCAUUUUAAUUAAGUUAAGUUUCAGGUUUUCUACAACCGGACAUUAACAAAUUCCCAUAUGCCCAAAACCGCGGGCACAGCUUUCGAAAGUUCAAUCCCUGCAGGGGUGUCCCAACUUAGCCCAUCACAAGCUCUCAUGGUCAACGAAGGAUAUUACUUCUCCCAAGACAAUCCGAUCAGACUCGGCAUCCCGGUUACAAGAGAUCCUCGACAAUGGUAAAACAAGUCCAGCAACGCUGCCCAAAUGUGCCGACAAAUCCCGAUAGGAGCUGCACAUAUCUCGUUCUCAGGGCACACUCAGAUAGGUCAAGCUACAAGUAAAACCAGCCCUCGAGUUUCCCUGAGGUGGCCCCGCAGGAUGCCCGUUUCGGACCAACACUUAGAGAAGCACUGGCCUGGGGGGGUUUAAAAUAAAGAUGACCCUUGAGUCCGCGAAACCCAAGGGAAAAAUAGGCUAGGUGGCGAAUGGUAAAACCAAUGUUGGGCAUUGCUGGAGGAGUUUUAUUCGAAGCGAACUGUCAAGGGGUUCCCAUUAUAACCCAACCGUGUAAGGAACGCAAAAUCCGGGAACAUAACACCGAUAUGACGGAAACUAGGGCGGCAAGAGUGAAACAAAACACCUGGCCUAAGGCCGAGCCUUCCCCCCUUUACCAAGUAUAUAGAUGCAUUAAUUAAAUAAGAGAUAUUGUGAUAUCCCAACAAAAUAUCCAUGUUCCAACAUGGAACAAACUCCAAUCUUCACCUGCAACUAACAACGCUAUAAGAGGUUGAGCAAAGCUGUAACAUAGCCAAACAACGGUUUGCUAGGACAAGGUGGGUUAGAGGCUUGGCUUAACAAUAUGGGAGGCAUGAUAAAGCAAGUGGUAGGUAUCGCAGCAUAGGCAUAGCAAAAGAGCGAGCAACUAGCAAGCAAAGAUAGAAGUGAUUUCGAGGGUAUGGUCAUCUUGCCUGAAAUCCCGCAAGGAAGAAGAACGAGUCCAUGAAGAAGACAAGCAGACGAAGUCAAACGAAACCUCACAAACGUGACGUUAUCGGAUCCAACCCGAAGAAGAAACACUGGAAAGAAGCAAACCACAUAGUAAACAACCAGCACAUCAACAUGGCAUGAUGCACAACCAAGUGUGAUGCAUGUCCGGUUUAAUUAUGCAUGGCAUGGCAAAGUGCACAAGCAAAACUACAAGUUAAGUGGAGCUCAAUAUGCAACGAGUUGCAUAUUGACGAAACACCACAAGAAUUAUUUAGUUCUCUCCCGGUUGUGUAUCCAACAAUAUUAAAUGUUGAUUAACAUGGCAAGAGGUGGAGCAUACGAAAACUACCUAUCUAGGCAAGUUUAAAUGAGGCCGGAAACAACGAACAACAAUUCCAGUAAAUCCCGAUAUGCAUAUUUUAGGUUUGGUACUGUUAUGCCCUAAACCGUAUUUUAGAGUUGUUUAACAUGCAAAGUAAUGUCACCAUGUUAAACUAGGCAUUUUUCUACCCCAUUUACAUAUAAAGUUUGUUAAGUUUGGAGCUACGGUUAUUUAGUUAUGAAAUAAAGCAUUUUAACAUGGCAAUAGGCAAAAUAUAAGAAAACAUCAUUUAAAACAUUUUUAACAAGGAAGAAAGUUGCAAAUUAUUAAUCUACACAAAAUUCUAAGAAAGUUUCAUAUAUAAUUUAUUUUAAUUCGAUGCAUGAUUCUGAUGUUAUUAUAUGCAUGAACAUGGAGGGGUUUUCUGCAAAAACUACAGUCUCUGAAAUAAAUAGACAAAUCACAGACGCUACAAAAAACAUACGCAGGCUGAAUUGGCUGGCCCAACAGGUGAAAAAAAACAAGAGGAGGAGGCGCUUGGGGGCUGCUCACCCUGGGCCUGGCCCAAUUCGGUGAAGAGGAGGCACGCUGGGUUGCAGCUGGGCCUUGGUUCGAUCUGGCGCUGGCGGGCUUGGGGGGUGUUGGGCCGGAUCGAGGCAAGGAGGCAGGCCAUCGCAACGCUCGGGUCAACGCAGGUGAGCGGAGGCACUAGUUGCAUGCGUUCUUCUCCUCCUCGAUGCAUGAUGCAGGG
rnacentral:lncRNA from 1 species